rnacentral:rRNA from 1 species
AGUGAACGCUGGCGGUAGGCCUAACACAUGCAAGUCGAACGGCAGCACAGUAAGAGCUUGCUCUUACGGGUGGCGAGUGGCGGACGUGUGAGGAGUACAUCGGAAUCUACUUUUUCGUGGGGGAUAACGUAGGGAAACUUACGCUAAUACCGCAUACGACCUACGGGUGAAAGCAGGGGAUCUUCGGACCUUGCGCGAUUGAAUGAGCCGAUGUCGGAUUAGCUAGUUGGCGGGGUAAAGGCCCACCAAGGCGACGAUCCGUAGCUGGUCUGAGAGGAUGAUCAGCCACACUGGAACUGAGACACGGUCCAGACUCCUACGGGAGGCAGCAGUGGGGAAUGUUGGACAAUGGGCGCAAGCCUGAUCCAGCCAUACCGCGUGGGUGAAGAAGGCCUUCGGGUUGUAAAGCCCUUUUGUUGUGAAAGAAAAGCAGCAGGUUAAUACCCCGCUGUUCUGACGGUACCCAAAGAAUAAGCACCGGCUAACUUCGUG